UACGUAGGGUGCAAGCGUUAAUCGGAAUACUGGGCGUAAAGCGUGCGCAGGCGGUUUUGUAAGUCUGACGUGAAAUCCCCGGGCUCAACCUGGGAAUUCGCGUUGGAGACGUGCAAGGCUAGAAUCUGGCAGAGGGGGGUAGAAUUCCGACGUGUGAGCAGUGAAAUGCGUAGAGAUAGUGGGAGGAACACCAGUGGCGAAGGCGACUCUUUGGUCGUGGUAACUGAGCGCUGACGGCUGACGGAAAGCGAAUGGGGACAACU
rnacentral:rRNA from 1 species